UAGUCCACGCCGUAAACGAUGAUCACUCGGUGUCGCGGAUUUAUCUGCGGUGCCUAAGCUAACGCAUUAAGUGAUCCACCUGGGGAGUACGAUCGCAAGGUUGAAACUCAAAGGGAAUUGACGGGGGCCCGCACAAGCGGUGGAGCAUGUGGCUUAAUUCGAUGCAACGCGAGGAACCUUACCUGGGCUCGAACGCUACCGGACAGUCGCCCGAAAGGGGACGUCUCUUCGGAGCUGGUAGUGAGGUGCUGCAUGGCUGUCGUCAGUUCGUGUCGUGAGAUGUUGGGUUAAGUCCCGCAACGAACGCAACCCCUAUCCGUUAGUUACCAGCGGAUAAUGCCGGGGACUCUAGCGAGACUGCCUGCGCAAGCAGUGAGGAAGGUGGGGAUGACGUCAAGUCAUCAUGGCCCUUAUGCCCAGGGCUGCACACGUGCUACAAUGGUCGGUACAACGGGGCUGGCCACCCCGCGAGGGGGAGCGUAAUCCAUAAAGCCGGCCUCAGUUCGG
rnacentral:rRNA from 1 species